UACGUAGGGGCUAGGCGUUAUCCGGAAUUACUGGGCGUAAAGGGUGCGUAGGUGGUUUUUUAAGUCUAGAAGUGAAGGACUACGGCUCAACCGUAGUAAGCUUUUGAAACUGAAGAACUUGAGUGCAGGAGAGGAGAGUAGAAUUCCUAGUGUAGCGGUGAAAUGCGUAGAUAUUAGGAGGAAUACCAGUAGCGAAGGCGGCUCUCUGGACUGUAACUGACACUGAGGCACGAAAGCGUGGGGAGCAAACAGG
rnacentral:rRNA from 1 species